rnacentral:rRNA from 1 species
GACGAACGCUGGCGGCGUGCCUAAUACAUGCAAGUAGAACGCUGAAGAGAGGAGCUUGCUCUUCUUGGAUGAGUUGCGAACGGGUGAGUAACGCGUAGGUAACCUGCCUUGUAGCGGGGGAUAACUAUUGGAAACGAUAGCUAAUACCGCAUAACAACGGCUGACACAUGUCCUUUAUUUGAAAGGGGCACUUGCUCCACUACAAGAUGGACCUGCGUUGUAUUAGCUAGUAGGUGAGGCAAUGGCUCACCUAGGCGACGAUACAUAGCCGACCUGAGAGGGUGGUCGGCCACACUGGGACUGAGACACGGCCCAGGCUCCUACGGGAGGCAGCAGUAGGGAAUCUUCGGCAAUGGGGGCAACCCUGACCGAGCAACGCCGCGUGAAGGAAGAAGGGUUUCUGAUCGUAAAUCUCUGUUGUAAGUCAAGAACGGAUGUGAGAGUGGAAAGUUCACACUGUGACGGUAGCUUACCAGAAAGGGACGGCUAACUACGUG